rnacentral:rRNA from 1 species
AUGGGAACGCGAAGAACCUUACCUACUCUUGACAUCCAGAGAACUUAGCAGAGAUGCUUUGGUGCCUUCGGGAACUCUGAGACAGGUGCUGCAUGGCUGUCGUCAGCUCGUGUUGUGAAAUGUUGGGUUAAGUCCCGCAACGAGCGCAACCCUUAUCCUUUGUUGCCAGCAGUUAGGCCGGGAACUCAAAGGAGACUGCCAGUGAUAAACUGGAGGAAGGUGGGGAUGACGUCAAGUCAUCAUGGCCCUUACGAGUAGGGCUACACACGUGCUACAAUGGCGCAUACAAAGAGAAGCGACCUCGCGAGAGCAAGCGGACCUCAUAAAGUGCGUCGUAGUCCGGAUUGGAGUCUGCAACUCGACUCCAUGAAGUCGGAAUCGCUAGUAAUCGUAGAUCAGAAUGCUACGGUGAAUACGUUCCCGGGUCUUGUACACACCG